rnacentral:rRNA from 1 species
AGUGAACGCUGGCGGUAGGCCUAACACAUGCAAGUCGAACGGCAGCACAGUAAGAGCUUGCUCUUACGGGUGGCGAGUGGCGGACGGGUGAGGAAUACAUCGGAAUCUACUUUUUCGUGGGGGAUAACGUAGGGAAACUUACGCUAAUAUCGCAUACGACCUACGGGUGAAAGCAGGGGAUCUUCGGACCUUGCGCGAUUGAACGAGCCGAUGUCGGAUUAGCUAGUUGGCGGGGUAAAGGCCCACCAAGGCGCCGAUCCGUAGCUGGUGUGAGUGGAUGAUCAGCCACACUAGAAGUUAAACACGGUCCAGGGGCCUGCGGGAGGCCGCAGUGGGGAAUAGGGGACAGUAGGCGCAAGCCUGAUCCAGCCAGACCGCGUGUGUGAAGAAGGCCUUCGGGUUGUAAAGCCCUUUUGUUGGGAAAGAACAGCAUCAGGUUAAGACCCCGCUGUUCUGACGGUACCCAAAGAAUAAGCACCGGCUAACUUCGCG